GAUAAAGUUCAUUGAUAAAUAGAUGUAUCAUAUUUUGAGGGUAAAGGAAUUUUGGCCCAGCGCCAGACAACUUUUAUUUUUGUGAAUCUUUUUAAAACACCUGGAAAUGUGUGUUUUAAAGCUUUUUGUUUGUGAGAGACUGCGAUCUCGGCAUGCCUAAUUGUCAUUUUUAUCAGCCAGUGCUGUAUGUGUAAUAAAAACUAGUU
rnacentral:misc_RNA from 1 species